GGAUAGUUCUACCAAGUCAAAAGGGCAAGGUAAUAAUAGAAUCAUGACAUUAAAAAGUGAUGAAGUAGUGAAUGUACUUGGUGAGUAUCUAAAUGAGCAAAGUGAGAUUCUGGCAGAGAUUGACUCCUGUCUAUUAAGAUUAAAAUGAAAAGGUUACAAAUGCCUGCAAUGUCUUUCUUCCUGAAUCUUCUGUAUACUUCUCCUCCCAGAAACUCUGAGUUGGACAAUAUUUUCCCUAUAAACUGUUAAUAAUAUCAGGUAAAAAAGAAUUUUCAAAACUGUCCAGAUGCCAUCUUUGGGUUUUUAAGGCAUUUUUUAAUGUUCUUAUAUAAUAAAUAGUAAUUUAAAAUAAUUAGAGAUGGUUGACCAUCAAUAAAAAGAAAAGUCACCUGUAAUCUCUCUACUCAGAGGUAACUGCUGUUAUAUUUUCCUUUUUUGUAAUUAGACAAUAUAAAAUUCAUCUAAAGAUCAAUUGCAUAUUAAAAAUGAACUAGUAAUGAAAACUUUAUGGCGAACUGAAGAGUACAAAAAUAUAGUAUCAUUAAUAUGUUGUAAAACUGUAAAUUUAGUUCUAGUUCUCUGUUCUUGCUACUUUGGGUAAUAUUCUUUGUUUCACAAAUUAGAAUAUCAUAUAGAAAAUAUAAUGUCUACAAUAGAAAACACCAAAGCAGUAAAAUGUAUAAAUUUACACAAUCAGGUUAAGAUAGUAAUGGCAAUAAUGAUAAAAUUUCGAAAUACAUAUUUUUAAAUAAUAGGAAGUAUCUUCUUUGGGUGGAAAUGAUGGCAUAAACUUUUAUAAACAGCAUUUGUAAGAACUGUUUAUCAAUGGAUCCCUGAAUAUCUCAAUGAAAAACAACAGAAUGCUAUACAAUUUGAGGAAGGAAUUUUUCAAAAGCAUUUGGAAGUUCUGCUUAAGUAAAAGUAAUUAUUUCAGUUUAAUUAAGCCUCUAUUAUAGAGGAGCUAGGGAAAAAAAUGGAAUUGGUAGCUUAGAGAGAAAUGAGGAGUUGUUCUAAUUUUAUAUUGAUAUUGGUAACAAUAUACUGGUUAGAAGGUGAAAACCAUAAUGUGUAGGGCAAAUUGCUUCUGAGUCACUCACUCUGGGCCUGGAUAUCUACCUGCUUCUUUAGUUAGGGUUCAGAAGAAAGAGUUUGCAAAGCAUUGUGCAGUGCCAAGUCGACAUCUUCUGAGUCUCUAACCUUUCCUCUAUUGGGACUCUGGAUGAAUUCCACAAAGUUCUAUUUGCAAGGCCAGGUCAGCAAGGGAAAAGAAAGCUG
rnacentral:lncRNA from 1 species